rnacentral:lncRNA from 1 species
CUUUUCAACGCCAAGACUCAGUCUUCUUCUUUCUCUCUUAUCCUUACUGUAUUAUUCUCUCUCUCCGCUUAUUUCUUUAUCGCCAAACAAAUCUUUUUUUACAUACACACAACAUACUCAAUUGCAGAGGCUUCACAAAGGUUGAGUGUAACUAUCCAUGAAAAGAAUACUCACUUUUAUCCCAGUUGAGAAAUCUCCAUAAUCAAUUAUACCCACAUAGAAAACUCUCACCUCUCUCUUAUUUCUUUCUUUCUUGAAUGCUGGAUACAGCACCAAUAACUAUAGUCCUACACUUCCUACCACUAGUUAUCUCAGUUCAGGUAACUAUUUUAAUAUUAUUUACCCAUAAUUAUAUUUGAUGUGCUGGUUUAUAAAUCUAUCUUGAUUGCUUACUUUUUUGUGUUUCUCAUCUAAUUUGUGUAAAUUUUUUAUCUAAGUUUUAUUU